GGGGCCGACCUGGUUUCGACGUGGGUGCGGAUCCGGAGUAGGGCAUGUCGAGCACCAGUCCGCUCGUAAAACCACUGGAAACAAAGUAACUGCAAACGACUCUACGUUCGCACUCGCCGCUUAAUUGCGGAUGAGCUUCUCAACGGCAGGCCGAUGGGCCGGGCUGAGUUCCGCAAGGGGCAAGGCUGAGAAGUCACUCACAUCGGCUGGCGUCGCACCGGGUCACUCGGUACGGCGCGAGAUCAAGUGACUGGCGGGAAAACUAGCGUGCCACUGCGCGAGUUGACCGUGAGAUUCAAAUCAGCCGGCUAAACAUGUAGAUCUGCCCGGUGAUGGCUUGCGGACGGGGGUUCAAUUCCCCCCGGCUCCACCA
rfam:Pelomonas sp. Root1444 contig_9, whole genome shotgun sequence.